UGAGUUUGAUCCUGGCUCAGGAUGAACGCUGGCGGCAUGCCUAAUACAUGCAAGUCGAACGGAUAUCUUCGGAUAUGAGUGGCGAACGGGUGAGUAACACGUAGGGAACCUGCCUGCAUGAGCGGGAGAACUUCUGGAAACGGAAGCUGAUACCGGAUGAGCAAAGAGGAGGCAUCUUCUUUUUGGAAAAGGGGACAAGAGUCCCGCAUGCAGAUGGACCUGCGGUGCAUUAGCUGGUUGGAGAGGUAACGGCUCACCAAGGCGACGAUGCAUAGCCGGCCUGAGAGGGCGGACGGCCACACUGGGACUGAGACACGGCCCAAACUCCUACGGGAGGCAGCAGUGGGGAAUAUUGCACAAUGGGGGAAACCCUGAUGCAGCGACGCCGCGUGAGCGAAGAAGUAUCUCGGUAUGUAAAGCUCUAUCAGCAGGGAAGAAAAUGACGGUACCUGACUAAGAAGCUCCGGCUAAAUACGUGCCAGCAGCCGCGGUAACACGUAUGGAGCAAGCGUUAUCCGGAUUUACUGGGUGUAAAGGGAGCGUAGGCGGUAAGGCAAGUCUGAUGUGAAAGGCCGGGGCUCAACCCUGGGACUGCAUUGGAAACUGUUUAACUGGAGUGUCGGAGAGGCAAGUGGAAUUCCUAGUGUAGCGGUGAAAUGCGUAGAUAUUAGGAGGAACACCAGU
rnacentral:rRNA from 1 species